AUUGAACGCUGGCGGCAGGCCUAACACAUGCAAGUCGAACGAGUGGCGGACGGGUGAGUAAUGUCUGGGAAACUGCCUGAUGGAGGGGGAUAACUACUGGAAACGGUAGCUAAUACCGCAUACCAUCGGAUGUGCCCAGAUGGGAUUAGCUAGUAGGUGGGGUAACGGUUCACCUAGGCGCCGAUCCCUAGCUGGUCUGAGAGGAUGACCAUCCACCCUGGAACUGAGACACGGUCCAGACUCUUACGGGAGGCAGCAGUGGGGAAUAUUGCACAAUGGGCGCAAGCCUGAUGCAGCCAUGCCGCGUGUAUGAAGAAGGCCGUCGGGUUGUAAAGUACUUUCAGCGGGGAGGCGUUACCCGCAGAAGAAGCACCGGCUAACUCCGUGCCAGCAGCCGCGGUAAUAC
rnacentral:rRNA from 1 species